UAAGCAUAUCAAUAAGCGGAGGAAAAGAAACCAACAGGGAUUGCCCUAGUAACGGCGAGUGAAGCGGCAACAGCUCAAAUUUGAAAUCUGGCUCUCGGGCCCGAGUUGUAAUUUGUAGAGGAUGACUUUGAUGCGGUGCCUUCCGAGUUCCCUGGAACGGGACGCCAUAGAGGGUGAGAGCCCCGUCUGGUUGGAUGCCAAAUCUCUGUAAGUCUCCUUCGACGAGUCGAGUAGUUUGGGAAUGCUGCUCUAAAUGGGAGGUAUAUGUCUUCUAAAGCUAAAUACCGGCCAGAGACCGAUAGCGCACAAGUAGAGUGAUCGAAAGAUGAAAAGCACUUUGAAAAGAGAGUUAAAAAGUACGUGAAAUUGUUGAAAGGGAAGCGUUUAUGACCAGACUUGGGCUUGGUUAAUCAUCUGGGGUUCUCCCCAGUGCACUUUUCCAGUCCAGGCCAGCAUCAGUUUUCGCCGGGGGACAAAGACUUCGGGAAUGUGGCUCCCCUCGGGGAGUGUUAUAGCCCGUUGUGUAAUGCCCUGGCGGGGACUGAGGUUCGCGCUUCUGCAAGGAUGCUGGCGUAAUGGUCAUCAACGACCCGUCUUGAAACACGGACCAAGGAGUCGUCUUCGUAUGCGAGUGUUCGGGUGUAAAACCCCUACGCGUAAUUAAAGUGAACGCAGGUGAGAGCUUCGGCGCAUCAUCGACCGAUCCUGAUGUUCUCGGAUGGAUUUGAGUAAGAGCAUACGGGGCCGGACCCGAAAGAAGGUGAACUAUGCCUGUGUAGGGUGAAGCCAGAGGAAACUCUGGUGGAGGCUCGCAGCGGUUCUGACGUGCAAAUCGAUCGUCAAACAUGGGCAUGGGGGCGAAAGACUAAUCGAACCUUCUAGUAGCUGGUUUCCGCCGA
rnacentral:rRNA from 1 species